rnacentral:lncRNA from 1 species
GCCUUCUUUUGGUGCGCGUGGCGGGGAGGGAUGGAAGGGACAGGGAGCCGCGGUGGGGAGCCAGUGACUGGGGAAACCUAGAGAGUCGUGAUCAUCAGGGGUAAUCCUCCGCUCGGGGAGGCCGCGGGGGAGCGAGGCCGCUGCAGCAUGUGCACGUGCCCGCGCCUGGGGCCGAGCCCGCACCCCGGCGAGCAGGGACUCCCCAGCUCGUGGGUUGUCUUGCUAAAUCCCCAGACCCACGAGGAAAGUCCCCGAAGCUUUGCGCGGUGCUUCCACAUGGCUCCCAGUGAGCCUUUGAAAGUGGCUUUCAGAGUUGUUCUCCUGCUCCUUUGUCGAGAAGACGUUACGUAGACAUUCCGCCCUCAUCUUGGCCCUAGGGAGGAAGCGGGUUUU